rnacentral:antisense_RNA from 1 species
ACGAGGGGAAGAAGAAGAUACUUACGCGGUGCAGGGAGCAGUGGGACCGAGCCUCUCUCUCUCUCUCUAUCUCUCUCUCUCUCUCUCUCUCUCUUUUUUUCCCCCGGCAGGGAGAGGAAAACACGCGCGCGCACACACGGUGAUAUCUUGCGGGUGAUGAAUAUGAUAAUUGGACAAGGGACGCUAUUCACAGAUCAUCAUCAGCCAGAGGUGACUUCUGUUGCUUGCAGCUCAGAAUCCUAGAUGUUUCUGGUGGCACUGAAGAGCCUCUGCCGAAGCUCUAUACCAUUUGCCAUGUACAAAGGGAAAUGAAAUAAUAACGCCGACCAUUUGUGGAGCACAUUCUGUCUGGAGGCAAAUAAUGCCAAGAUGGGAAAGCCACAUAAUGGAAGGAUCCCAGAUUUCAGAGCUGUCACUUGGAGGAGGGGCACACAGUGAAGGUGUCUAUCUAACCCACACCAUAUCUUCAUGAAGUGGCCAUAUGGAUUUGAUCCCUAUCCUUCAGAGGUGCUCAGCCUAAGGGAACAUGGGUAGAAGAUUAAGCACUGACCAGGGGUAUAAAUCCUGCCUUCUCUCAGCCUUACAGAGGAAGAAAACCCUUUCCAAGUUUCCUCUGAUACUGGGUUUAUGCCCAAUUCUAGUUUAGCCUUUCUCUUUACUCAUUGGACUCAGAGCCAGCCUUGACAAUGUGCUGAUGGCAACCU